UUUGAUCAUUAUCAUGUAAAUAAUUUGGAAAGCAAUAAAAAUAUUUGGAAGAAUUUGUUAUUCUAACAUGUUUUGAACUUUUCAAAAUUUGUAAAAUAUCUCAUAAGGUGUCCAUCAAGUGUCAUCGAGUGUCGGAAUUAAAACGUGUCCGCAGUACAGGUACAUUAACAAGUUAUAGUUUCCGUGCCACAUAAAUUAACACAUAUAGUCAAGAUAUUUGUUAUUCUUAGUUUGUAAUAUUCCAUCUCGAUAAUAUCUAAAGUUGACAUACAAAAAUAAGGAAAAUUCGAUGCUAUACGUAGUAUCUAUAUAUGUAUGCUUACCGUAGGUUGGGUGGAUCUAUGCUUAAUAUAUAGGGUGGGAUUCUUGCCUAAUUUAUUAUUCCACUCUAAUUUUAAAAGGGUUAAAUUAAGUUUACACAUCUAAUGUAUAUCAUCUGUAACACUUAUAGAGUAUUAUUUGUAACAUUUAUCCCUCUCAAGCUCAAUUUAAUUUGUAUUUUAAAUUCUAAUACCUUAAAUUUUCUUUUUUUAUUUAAAAUAAUAACUAAAAGAAUAAUUAAA
rnacentral:lncRNA from 1 species